rnacentral:rRNA from 1 species
AGAGUUUGAUUAUGGCUCAGGAUGAACGCUAGCGGCAGGCCUAAUACAUGCAAGUCGAACGGGAUUUGAGUAGCAAUACUUAAUGAGAGUGGCGCACGGGUGCGUAACGCGUAUGCAACCUACCUUUAACAGGGGGAUAGCUCCGAGAAAUCGAAAUUAAUACCCCAUAGAAUUAUUGAUUGGCAUCAAUUAAUAAUUAAAGCUCCGGCGGUUAAAGAUGGGCAUGCGUGCCAUUAGCUAGUUGGUGAGGUAACGGCUCACCAAGGCAACGAUGGCUAGGGGUUCUGAGAGGAUUAUCCCCCACACUGGUACUGAGACACGGACCAGACUCCUACGGGAGGCAGCAGUAAGGAAUAUUGGGCAAUGGACGCAAGUCUGACCCAGCCAUGCCGCGUGCAGGAAGACAGCCCUAUGGGUUGUAAACUGCUUUUGUCAGGGAAUAACCCCCCGGAUGUAUCCGGGGCUGAAUGUACCUGAAGAAUAAGCAUCGGCUAACUCCGUGCCAGCAGCCGCGGUAAUACGGAGGAUGCGAGCGUUAUCCGGAUUCAUUGGGUUUAAAGGGUGCGCAGGCGGAUUAUUAAGUCAGUGGUGAAAUCCUACAGCUCAACUGUAGAACUGCCAUUGAUACUGAUAAUCUUGAGUGUAUAUGAAGUGGGCGGAAUGUAGCAUGUAGCGGUGAAAUGCAUAGAUAUGCUACAGAACACCAAUUGCGAAGGCAGCUCACUAAACUACAACUGACGCUCAUGCACGAAAGCGUGGGGAUCAAACAGGAUUAGAUACCCUGGUAGUC